AGGAGUCUCGUUUGGUAGCCAAGGAUGACUUGCCUGCCUCCUAAAACAGGUUUAAUUAGUUAUCAAUUAAAACCUAUUUGGGUUCUCAGGCAGUCACCUUGGCUAACUUGACAAGCUCUUUUUCCUCAUGCUAGACCUUCUCUUCUUUACAUUUUAGUUGUGCUCGGUAUCGUUAUGCCUUCCUAUAUACAUAUACAUAGAUAUAAGCACUUGCAUUUUGCAAUACAUCAUAGAAGUUCAUUAAUUGCAAGUGUAUUUAUGCAUGUUUGGCAUCACUUCGGAGCUGAAAUCUGAAAUAACAAGGUCUUACGUACAUGAAGAGAAUUCAGAGUUUGAUGAUUUAGAUUGCGAUUUGAUCUUCUCUAGCCUGGUGUGGUGGUUGCGUUGGUCGAUGGUUGUUGAUUGGAGUUGUUGGUGCCGACACUGUUGCUGUUUGGAACAGGGAGGCAAUUCAAGGUUGGGGUGUUGCCGAUUGACAUCUUUUUUCUUUGUCGGCCUCAACUUGUUUCGUCUUGGUGGUUGAGGCCUUGGUGCACCAUGGACAGAUGGAGGGGUUGACUGCCAGAGGUAUUUACAGUGGUGGUGAUGCUCUCAACGUCGGCAACAAUAUGAUUAGAGGGGGUGUUCUGCACGACGUACUAUGGACUGGACAUCAAUUUCUAGUGCGGUGACAGUAGGGAGCAAAGGGAGGAGCCCUAUUUUACUUGGAUUCUGGUGUUGGACCCGGACCUGGAAUUGGGCUUGGAGGCCUGAGUUUGGGUUUAGGCUGUUUGGACCCAAGUCAAGGGCUUGUAAGGAGGGUGCCUUGCCACCUUCACUUAUUACUUAGUGGGAGGGCCUAGCUAGCCCAGGAAUUGGACAUUCUUAGAUAGUUUGGGUGGACUUCUGGUCCUCAAGUGCUAGUCUAUUCAAAUCAUGACUUCUACGGGAACUAUCUUGUAUAAGAUUGGCGCAAGUCUAGUGUAUACUUAGGUGGCAAGGUUAUGAAACGAGUGUCUAAGACUCUGAGUGUUAGGAAUUUUGUCUUUUGUAAACUUUCUUCUUUGUUGUGAUGUUAUGUGCCAGAGGGCAUUAUCCCUUGCUGCAAGGGUUUUGAUCAUGUUCAUAUGCAGUUUUAACUGUUGUAUGUUUGUAAUAUAUUUCACUCGAGUAGUAUGUAAAGCCAUCUUUUUAUUUCACUUUUGAAGUGCUUAUUUUGUUUUACUUUCUUUUACUGUUUCUUGAGUUGUAAAUGGUUGUCAUACCUUUAUGAUCUCUACACUUUUGGGGUCGGGGCGUGACAUAGUGUGCAUAGGGAUAGUUUCUAGGAACUUUCUUAGAUGUUUCUAGUCUUCAUUUGUACCAAAAUUGAGUGUAGGCAAGAGGUUAAAUGAUUGAUUUUUUCCUUAGGAGGCAAGACUAUUUUUGCUUGUACAAGGGUUGCAUUUAUGCGAGCGUCCCUGGUUUGUAAUGAGCUGCAGUGCUUGG